rnacentral:rRNA from 1 species
AGCUCACUAGUCGAGUGACACUGCGCCGAAAAUGUACCGGGGCUAAACAUAUUACCGAAGCUGUGGAUUGUCCUUUGGACAAUGGUAGGAGAGCGUUCUAAGGGCGUUGAAGCAUGAUCGUAAGGACAUGUGGAGCGCUUAGAAGUGAGAAUGCCGGUGUGAGUAGCGAAAGACGGGUGAGAAUCCCGUCCACCGAUUGACUAAGGUUUCCAGAGGAAGGCUCGUCCGCUCUGGGUUAGUCGGGUCCUAAGCUGAGGCCGACAGGCGUAGGCGAUGGAUAACAGGUUGAUAUUCCUGUACCACCUAUAAUCGUUUUAAUCGAUGGGGGGACGCAGUAGGAUAGGCGAAGCGUGCGAUUGGAUUGCACGUCUAAGCAGUAAGGCUGAGUAUUAGGCAAAUCCGGUACUCGUUAAGGCUGAGCUGUGAUGGGGAGAAGACAUUGUGUCUUCGAGUCGUUGAUUUCACACUGCCGAGAAAAGCCUCUAGAUAGAAAAUAGGUGCCCGUACCGCAAACCGACACAGGUAGUCAAGAUGAGAAUUCUAAGGUGAGCGAGCGAACUCUCGUUAAGGAACUCGGCAAAAUGACCCCGUAACUUCGGGAGAAGGGGUGCUCUUUAGGGUUAACGCCCAGAAGAGCCGCAGUGAAUAGGCCCAAGCGACUGUUUAUCAAAAACACAGGUCUCUGCUAAACCGUAAGGUGAUGUAUAGGGGCUGACGCCUGCCCGGUGCUGGAAGGUUAAGAGGAGUGGUUAGCUUCUGCGAAGCUACGAAUCGAAGCCCCAGUAAACGGCGGCCGUAACUAUAACGGUCCUAAGGUAGCGAAAUUCCUUGUCGGGUAAGUUCCGACCCGCACGAAAGGCGUAACGAUUUGGGCACUGUCUCAACGAGAGACUCGGUGAAAUCAUAGUACCUGUGAAGAUGCAGGUUACCCGCGACAGGACGGAAAGACCCCGUGGAGCUUUACUGUAGCCUGAUAUUGAAAUUCGGCACAGCUUGUACAGGAUAGGUAGGAGCCUUUGAAACGUGAGCGCUAGCUUACGUGGAGGCGCUGGUGGGAUACUACCCUAGCUGUGUUGGCUUUCUAACCCGCACCACUUAUCGUGGUGGGAGACAGUGUCAGGCGGGCAGUUUGACUGGGGCGGUCGCCUCCUAAAAGGUAACGGAGGCGCUCAAAGGUUCCCUCAGAAUGGUUGGAAAUCAUUCAUAGAGUGUAAAGGCAUAAGGGAGCUUG